CACGUAGGGGGCGAGCGUUGUCCGGAUUUAUUGGGCGUAAAGAGCUCGUAGGUGGUUCGGUAAGUCGGGUGUGAAAACUCUGGGCUCAACUCAGAGACGCCACCCGAUACUGCUGUGACUCGAGUCUGGUAGGGGAGUGUGGAAUUCCCAGUGUAGCGGUGAAAUGCGCAGAUAUUGGGAGGAACACCGGUGGCGAAGGCGGGUCUCUGGGCCGAUACUGACGCUGAGGAGCGAAAGCGUGGGGAGCGAACAGG
rnacentral:rRNA from 1 species